rnacentral:lncRNA from 1 species
CCUUUUCAACACUUCUUGUAUCAUGCCCUUGCUCAUGAACCUCUCCGCCAUUGUCUUUACUUGGAGGACCGAUCUUCCCUGCAGCAACAUCAUCCUGAAAGUCACAACCAAAACAUAUCAUAACCAAGCAACAAUCUCAUAGUCGAUCAGUGAUCAUUUAUGUUGCAGAUCUUUGCUGCAUUCCCACCACUCAAGGGGCGUCAUUCAUUAUACUACCAACAUCCUCCUGCAGUGAACAACCAAAUUAGAAAAACAGUGGUCUCGUGAUUAUUCAAGGAGCCAUUUUUCUCAAAACCAACACCCCCUGAAAUCAAUAACCAAACCAGACUAACUAACCAGCAAUCCCACCAAACAUCAAUAACCACAAUUUUCACACCUUCACUGCAUCUGCGCCGUCAUUAUCUAGUGUCAACAUUCCCCCGCAAUCAAUAAUUUUACUACUCAGGCGGUCUCGUUGGUGGGCAACCUGCAGAAGCGAAUAGCUUGAGAACCUUUGCAUCUGCGCCGUCAUUAUCUAGUGUCAACAUUCCCCCGCAAUCAAUAAUUUUACUACUCAGGCGGUCUCGUUGGUGGGCAACCUGCAGAAGCGAAUAGCUUGAGAACCUUUGCCUCCUGAGCGGUGGCGCCCUCGCCCUCCCUGGCCAGGAGGCCUGUCCGAGGCAUGCCGCGGGGGUUGAUGACGAUGCUGGGCAGCCGCUCGAUGUCCCAGCCGAGCACGCUGCAUAUAACAGACCCAACACGCUCAGAGGCAAAGAACAAAGGGAAAAGUGAGAGAGCAAUGAGGAGGCACCUGAGGUGAGGCGAGGCCAGUGACGGGCAACGGCGAUGACACUCUGACCUUGAUCCAGUCACGAGAAACCCCGAUCCACCAGCGCCUUGUGCUUCCCCGUGGAUGACGCCCAGCUUCCUCCCGUCGACGGCGCGACGAUCCACUGCUCCGCUGGCUCGUGCUCCUCCUCGCCGCGUCUCCUCCGCGUGCGGCGCCGACGGACUCCGGACGCAUCUAGGCCAGACGGCGACAGAGACGGGCGGCACAGAGGAGAGGAGGAGGACGGGCGGCGGCGACACAGAGGAGGAGGAAGACGGGCAACGGCAGUGCAGAGGAGAGGAGGAGGAUGGGCAGCGGUGCCGCAGAGGAGAGGAGGAGGACGGGUGGCGGCGGCUCAGAGGAGAGGAGGAGGUAGGGUUACGGGAGGGGAAGCCGCGAGGGGAGGACGGAGCGGAGCUGCGCGUGUGCGGGAGGUGGCUUGCUGCACUUAUAUGCCACCAGGUGAAAUGACGAAAUUACCCUUAGCGGGCCACCAAAUUUACAGGCGGUGGCAUGACGACCCCGAUUAAAUGACUAAAAUACCCUGGUGCUCUGUUUGUAAAGCGUCCCUAAAGCGUCGCUUAAGCGACGCUUAAGCGUUAGAGCGCCCUCCAGGCUCAAAGCGUCCAACUCGCUUUAGACAUGUGUCUAAGGCGUCCGCCUUAGACACUAAAGCGUCUGAAGCGCCUGCUUAGGCAUCCUGAUUGGCGCUUUAAGGCAGAGAGGACGCCUUAGACUUGCCAGGCAGGGUACAGAGAUUCCUGGCAGGGAAACAGGGCUGGGCUCACAUUUGAAACAGUUACAGGAGGGGAAAGAAAGAGAGAGAACCAAAACCAGAGCGUGCAAAUAUCCAGGCUUUCAGCUCUUUCCUCUCUCCUCUGGCAGCAGCUUCCUCAGAUCUGCACCAGCCUUUUCUGCUCUGUUGUGUGUUAUGCUAUGCACAACUCCUCUGCUGUUAGGUGCUACUGCCUCUCUUAUAGCAAUUGGCUAGUUGCUUGCUGCUUAGUGGAUGGAUCAGAAUAUAUGGGCUCACUGGUGGAUUAGAAUCAACAUAUAUAUGUCUCACUAAAUGGUGCUCUAUUAUACUGCCCAUCAGGUUCAGAGUCUGUCUAAAGCGUCGCCUCGCUUUACGCUUUAUCGCUUAAGCAGUGAGGCGCCCCCCUAGCGCCUCGCUUCGCUUUACCGCUUUAUAAACAUAGCCCUGGUGUGGGCAAAGAUAUUACAUUCUGAUGCAAUUGAAAUUUUAUCCGACGGCCGAAGUUGAUCCGGUAAAUAUCCAACGACCCACAGCGAUUUGGAUCGAGAUCCGACAGUCUGUGUCGCGAGGAGAUUCCGAUCCGACGGCUGAAAAUCCAAACGCCUGAGGAGGCUCCAUUUCGGUUCUGACUCUAACAAGGGUAAGCAAAAAAUCUUGCCAAAGUUAAUUGGGUGGCCUAUUAACCCGAAAUACUUAACUUAAUCACAACAGAAAUGAAGUGCCAACAACACAAAUGUGGCCUCCUUGUUGGAUUAUUCAUUAGUAAGAAUUGUUUUGGUUCCUAAAUCUAUGUUAGAUAGGAUGGAUACAACCAUUAUUCUUGAAGGUGCAUAUGCAAAAUCAAGUAAAAAUAAUAUUUCAAAUGAUGGCCCAAACAACCAUCCAACUUUAUGUUAGGAAAGUCAUAAACUACACAUCAUUCUGAUUUAGAAGUCAUAUAAUACCUUUUGGUCCUCAGAGCCAUUCUUCUCUUUUCUUUCCUUGUCGUGAAGUGCGGUAUAAACUUUGAAGUACCAAGAGCUGCAAAUUGAACUCAGAAGUCAAAAUAGGUCGUAUAAACAAAACAAAACAAACCUUUAUCUAUAAUGAAAGUUGAGUGCAAAACUACUAUACAGUAAAGCCAUGGAAUUUCAAAUAUAAGCCGGGAUGGGGAGAUGGGAUGUAGAGAAACAUAGCUAAAUAUAAGAAUGAAGCACUUAGGCUUGCGAAACACUGAACAACAUUGCCCUAAGGAUCAGAUCAAGUUCUUUGCUCAACUGGUCACUCACAUGCUCUUCUUGGUCAUUCUCUGGAUUUAUGGAGAAGAUCCCUUGAACCUAAGAAUGCAAAAUGAGAAAAAUCAUGUUGAUUCAGACCUUAUUGAUAUACAAAAGGAGAAAUCUAUGUAUUUUGACUUUCUCUAAGAUUCUAUAUUUGAACUACCUAUGAAGAAAGCUUUCGUUUACCAAACAAAGACACCUUUUGUGUGUCGCUGCUUAUUUGAAUCUUACACUUAGUCACCUUCAAAUAUCAAUUUGUCUUCUAGCUAGUUAAGUGUGCAUAUUGAAUCUUGAAGUAUAUAAUUCCACAGAUAAAAAAUUACCCCAAAUCAUAAAUCAAAGUAUAUAAUUCCGAAGGCUGAAACCCUAAAUCCAAGUCAUAUACAAUUCCGCAGACACUCAAAUAUCUAAACUCCCUUUAAUUCACCAUAUAUAAUUCCGCAGAUAAAAAAAUGACUCCAAAUCAUAAAAGGAAAUCAAUGAGAAAUUCAUGAAAGGCAGCAAAAAAAUGAUAAGAAAAUACUGUUGUAGAACAUAUUGGAGUUUUAGCCGCUGGUACUGACCUUUUCAACACUUCUUGUAUCAUGCCCUUGCUCAUGAACCUCUCCGCCAUUGUCUUUAGUUGGAGGACCGAUCUUCCCUGCAGCAACAUCAUCGUGAAAGUCGCAACCAAAACAGAUCAUAACCAAGCAACAAUCUCAUAGUCGAUCAGUGAUCAUCUAUGUUGCAGACCUUUGCUGCAUUCCCACCACUCAAGGGGAAGUCAUUCAUUAUACUACCAACAUCCUCCUGCAAUGAACAACCAAAUUAGAAAAACAGUGGUCUCCUGAUUAUUCAAGGAGCCAUUUUUCUCAAAACCANNNNNNNNNNNNNNNNNNNNNNNNNNNNNNNNNNNNNNNNNNNNNNNNNNNNNNNNNNNNNNNNNNNNNNNNNNNNNNNNNNNNNNNNNNNNNNNNNNNNNNNNNNNNNNNNNNNNNNNNNNNNNNNNNNNNNNNNNNNNNNNNNNNNNNNNNNNNNNNNNNNNNNNNNNNNNNNNNNNNNNNNNNNNNNNNNNNNNNNNNNNNNNNNNNNNGACUAACUAACCAGCAAUCUCACCAAACAUCAAUAACCACAAUUUUCACACCUUCACUGCAUCUGCACCAUCAUUAUCUAGUGUCAACAUUCCCCUGCAAUCAAUAAUUUUACUACUCAGGCGGUCUCGUUGGUGGGCGACCUGCAGAAGCAAAUAGCCUGAGAACCUUUGCCUCCUGAGCGGUGGCGCCCUCGCCCUCCCUGGCCAGGAGGCCUGUCCGAGGCAUGCCCGGGGGUUGAUGACGAUGCUGGGCAGCCGCUCGAUAUCCCAGCCGAGCACGCGGCAUAUAACAGACCCAACACGCUUAGAGGCAAAGAACAGAGGGAAGAUUGAGAGAGCAAUGAGGAGGCACCUGAGGUGAGGCAAAGCCGGUGACGGGUAACGGCGACGACACUCUGACCUCGAUCCAGUCACGAGAAACCCCAAUCCACCAGCGCCUUGUGCUUCCCCGUGGAUGAUGCCCAGCUUCCUCCCAUCAACGGCGCGACGACCCACUGCUCAGGUGGCUCGUGCUCCUCCUCGCCGCGUCUCCUCCGCGUGCGGCGCCGACGGACUCCGAACGCAUCUAGGCCAAACGACGACAGAGACGGGCGGCGCAGAGGAGAGGAGGAGGACGGGCGGCGGCGACACAGAUGAGAGGAGGAAGACGGGCAACAGCAGCGCAGAGGAGAGGAGGAGGAUGGGCAGGGUGGCGCAGAGGAGAGGAGGAGGACGGGCGGCGGCGGCUCAGAGGAAGCCGCGAGGGGAGGACGGAGCGGGGCUGCGCGUGUGCGGGAGGUGGCUUGCUGCACUUAUAUGCCACCAGGUGAAAU